CCCCUCUCAGGGUCGCACCUGGAGAGUUUCCAGUACUCUACCAGUUUUGGCUAUGGGAGGGAGAGUCAAGCAGAGGUACAUUCAUUCUAUUUCUAGCUUGUGCAGUGGCUAACGAGUGGAAGUCAAUCUGCUACAAGU